GACGUAGGGCGCGAGCGUUGUCCGGAUUUAUUGGGCGUAAAGAGCUCGUAGGCGGUUUGUCGCGUCGUUCGUGAAAACUCACAGCUUAACUGUGAGCUUGCGGUCGAUACGGGCAGGCUAGAGUUCGGUAGGGGAGACUGGAAUUCCUGGUGUAGCGGUGAAAUGCGCAGAUAUCAGGAGGAACACCGGUGGCGAAGGCGGGUCUCUGGGACGGUACUGACGCUGAGACGCGAAAGCGUGGGGAGCAAACAGG
rnacentral:rRNA from 1 species